rnacentral:rRNA from 1 species
CUCCUUUGACGUUAGCGGCGGACGGGUGAGUAACACGUGGGUAACCUACCUAUAAGACUGGGAUAACUUCGGGAAACCGGAGCUAAUACCGGAUAAUAUUUCGAACCGCAUGGUUCGAUAGUGAAAGGUGGUUUUGCUAUCACUUAUAGAUGGACCCGCGCCGUAUUAGCUAGUUGGUAAGGUAACGGCUUACCAAGGCGACGAUACGUAGCCGACCUGAGGGGGUGAUCGGCCACACUGGAACUGAGACACGGUCCAGACUCCUACGGGAGGCAGCAGGA